rnacentral:misc_RNA from 1 species
UGGGUGCGGGCGACCAUCGCGC